UUGACUGGGCAGGUAACCGCUGAUACAUCCGCGUGAAUGGACGAAGAAAAUUCCAAACUUUCUAUUAGAUGUACCUUGGAACACGAUGUAAUUCAUCACAUUGAAUUAUGAAAGCACGUGGCGUGCCAUUGAGCAAGACACGAAGCCGCUGUUCAAAUGGCAAACACGAGGCACGAAAAUGAAGCAAUCAAGGACUAUCGUAUCUUUGGAGUGUAAAGUGAAGAAAUCGCUGGACCAAAUCGUGAAACUGGUGAACCUGGAGGCACUGGCCGUGUCGGUAGACCACAUUUUGCGUGAGAUGAGAUCUUGACGAUAUUUUCUCUGAUCGACUGUGAUCCUUAUGCUAAUUCGACGGUGUUCAGAACAUCGGAUAGACCAGAUGGUGAAAAUACCAGACAUGUUAGCAAACGGUGAAGUACAAGGAGGUAGAGCGCGCCAGUUUUCUCUGGAGAAGCUGAUGGAACUGGCCAAGGAG